rnacentral:rRNA from 1 species
GAAACAGUGGCUAAGACUGGAUAGGAAGAUAAAAGGCAUCUUUUAUCUUUUAAAAGACCUAGUAAUAGGGUAUGCUUUAGGAGGGGCUUGCGCCAUAUUAGUUAGUUGGUAGGGUAAUGGCCUACCAAGACGAUGAUGUGUAGCUGGACUGAGAGGUUGAACAGCCACAUUGGGACUGAGACACGGCCCAAACUCCUACGGGAGGCAGCAGUAGGGAAUUUUCGGCAAUGGAGGAAACUCUGACCGAGCAACGCCGCGUGAAUGACGAAGUACUUCGGUAUGUAAAGUUCUUUUAUCAAGGAAGAAAAGCAAAUGGCGAACCAUUUGUUUGCCGGUACUUGAUGAAUAAGCCCCGGCUAAUUAUGUGCCAGCAGCCGCGGUAAGACAUAAGGGGCAAGUGUUAUCCGGAAUUAUUGGGCGUAAAGGGUGCGUAGGCGGUCUAGUAAGUCAGUGGUGUAAUGGCAACGCUUAACGUUGUCCGGCUAUUGAAACUGCUAAACUUGAGUUAGAUAGAGGCGAGUGGAAUUCCAUGUGUAGCGGUAAAAUGCGUAAAUAUAUGGAGGAACACCAGAGGCGUAGGCGGCUCGCUGGGUCUUAACUGACGCUGAGGCACGAAAGCGUGGGGAGCAAACAGGAUUAGAUACCCUGGUAGUCCACGCCGUAAACGAUGAGUACUAAGUGUCGGGUUAAACCGGUACUGAAGUUAACACAUUAAGUACUCCGCCUGAGUAGUACGUACGCAAGUAUGAAACUUAAAGGAAUUGACGGGACUCCGCACAAGCGGUGGAUCAUGUUGUUUAAUUCGAAGAUACCCGAAAAACCUUACCAGGUCUUGACAUGUUUUUGCAAAAUGAUAGUAAUAUCGUGGAGGUUACCAGAAACACAGGUGGUGCAUGGUUGUCGUCAGCUCGUGUCGUGAGAUGUUAGGUUAAGUCCUAAAACGAGCGAAACCCUUAUCGUUAGUUGCCAGCACGUUAUGGUGGGGACUUUAACGAGACUGCCAAUGAUAAAUUGGAGGAAGGUGAGGAUCACGUCAAAUCAGCAUGCCCCUUAUGACCUGGGCUACAAACGUGAUACAAUGGCUGUUACAAAGGGUAGCUGAAACGCAAGUUCUUGGCCAAUCCCCAAAAACAGUCCCAGUCCGGAUUGAAGUCUGCAACUCGACUCUCAUGAAGUUGGAAUCGCUAGUAAUCCGCGAAUCAGCAUGUCGCGGUGAAUACGUUCUCGGGGUUUGUACACACCGCCCGUCA